rnacentral:misc_RNA from 1 species
GAUGAAGAACGUAGCGAAAUGCGAUAAGUAAUGCGAAUUGCAGAAUUCAGUGAAUCAUCGAAUCUUUGAACGCACAUUGCGCCCCUUGGUAUUCCAUGGGGCAUGCCUGUUCGAGCGUCAUUUGUACCUUCAAGCUCUGCUUGGUGUUGGGUGUUUGUCUCGCCUCUGCGCGCAGACUCGCCUCAAAACAAUUGGCAGCCGGCGUAUUGAUUUCGGAGCGCAGUACAUCUCGCGCUUUGCACUCAUAACGACGACGUCCAUAAAGUACAUUUUUUACACUCUUGACCUCGGAUCAGGUAGGGAUACCCGCUGAACUUAAGCAUAUCAAUAAGCGGAGGA